rnacentral:misc_RNA from 1 species
UGUGUAAAAAACAAAUUAAAAAAACAUAAACGUUAUAUGAAAAAGGCGUCGCCUCACGCCUAGCACUUUUCUUUCUAGGGUGCUCGCCUCAUGCGAUCCAGGCGAGGCGUUAGAUAGUCCACUCGUCCAGCGCCUAGGAGCAUCUUUAACAACACUACUCAUAAUAAUAAUAAAAGACUGAUUUCCUUGGCUACAUCAUUCUCCCCUAGUUGGAGAA